UACGUAGGGUGCAAGCGUUGUCCGGAAUUAUUGGGCGUAAAGAGCUCGUAGGCGGUCUGUUGCGUCGGCUGUGGAAACCCGAGGCUCAACCUCGGGCCUGCAGCCGAUACGGGCAGACUAGAGUUCGGCAGGGGAGACUGGAAUUCCUGGUGUAGCGGUGAAAUGCGCAGAUAUCAGGAAGAACACCCGUGGCGAAGGCGGUUCUCUGGGACGGUACUGACGA
rnacentral:rRNA from 1 species